UACGUGUACAUAAUAGUUUAUGCACGCAUAAUGUGGUGAAGUAUGAUUUGAUCAGAAUUUAUUCGACCAAAAAAAAAAAAAAAAAAAAAAAAAAACCACCCUUCCCUCUUUUUAACACUUCGUACGUACGUAAACCAUAUAACUCCAUUAUGUACAAGCAGCAAUAUUCAAAAUAUAAAAUUCCCCCACUUCAUUUUUGCCACCUCACCAAUCUAUAAAUGGUGAGGUACAACAAACAUUUUCCUAAAUCUGAAUUCAGCCACAUUAUCCCUUUUACACACUCUGCUCUGGUUAUUGCUAGGUGGGUUGAAAGAUCUAAAGCCACUAUAUGCUUGUAGACAAUGUGAAAACGUUGAGAUAAAACCUCAAUUCUCAGACCAAUGUUCUAAAAUUCAGCUUUCAUCACUUCAUUAGUAAAUUUCAAAGCAAGAAAUAAAAAUAAUUCAAAAUGGCUUUCUUCAGAGAAUGCUUUCACUGCAAAAAACUGGAAAUGCUCCAAAAUGGAUGUACUGAGAUUGAACCCGUGUAUACAAACAGGUAGCAAGAUUGAGAAUCAACAGCAAAAGAAUGAGAUGGGGGAAAUUUGGAACACAAUAUUUGAUAGGACUGGACAAUACAAUAGACAAGAUUUCUUUUCCCCCUUGAUAACGAUAAAGUAAUGUCGGGUAACA
rnacentral:lncRNA from 1 species